CCUGUUUUCACCUUGAGUAUUUUACAAAAGGAUACAGAGAGGCUGUCACUACUGUAGUUAUUGUCGUGGUAAAUUAACUGUUGCACGGCCCCCAAAUUGCUCCAUGGCAGCCAAGGGGAGCGGAGCCUACGAGGAUUCUGGAACCCAGGGUUCUGGCGUAGGUCAGAGGCGAUGGCUGGAGGGAACAGUCCCGCUGGUCCUGGUGAGCUAGGCCCUCCUGGGUCUAGAUCCUGGGCCCCAGGUUACCCUUAAGAGCGGUGGGCGCGUAGCGAACGGAGUGAUCAGCCCGGAACCCCCGAGUUCCUGGGCAUACGUGGACCUUCGUUCCCUGACUGGGGUCCUGUGCACACAGACAAGAUGGGCUUUUACAGUUCAGAUUGGAACAAACCACCCUGGCAGCAGAAAUCCACCUCAAGAUGAAAUAAUAUCUACCUGGCCCUCUAGAGGAAUAAGGAAGAUAUGAAGACCAUGAAGAAACUGGCUUCAUGGCUGAGGGUCUGGAGAGGUGAAGAGAUGGCCACGUCUCCAGCCUUAUGAGAGAAUGUUCAGGUUUACUUUCUAACAAUAUGCUGGUUCUAAGAAAAGAAGGGGAAGCCCCACAGCCGUUAUGGCAAUAAGACACUCUGCCCCAAGAUAUCCAGCAGAGCUUCACAGCCCCACUUACAGCU
rnacentral:lncRNA from 1 species